CCCGGCAGCGCUGCCAGGCCCCGGCGCUGCCGCUCCGGACAGUCCCUAGGAAAGGGCUCUACUUCAGGCACACCUGGCGCUCAGGUGACUGUCCCAAAGGCUGGGGACAGCCAGGGUGUUCCGGCAGCUCCGGGUGUGCCAGUGGCCCUGGGCCCUGCUGAGGACUGCAGAGCUCCGCAGUGGUUAUUCUGAUUUCCAUCUUUAACAAGUUCAAGACUGGUGCCGAGUUGCUUGGUCCAGGCACAAACACAAUCUCAUUUCAAGGAGGAAAAACUUAUUUUAAGCUAAUUUCCCAGUAUUCAGUGUAAUUAUUAAAGCUACCAACUUGUUACAAUUUUGCAUUUUGCUAAAAGAAGUGUUUCUUUGGUGUAUAAACACACAGAUUAAAACACUUUUCGAAGUUCUCCUUCAGAGGCAGCUGGAAGGAAGCUCACACGUUACUAAAGAGUUUAGUAAAGAUCAUGUCUUAUCUCUUCCAAUCAAAUGGUGAAUGAAGAUGGCCAAUGCUCCAUCAAAAGGGGAAACUAUCUCUGUCUUCGAAGGCACAUUA